UGGGGAAUUUUGGACAAUGGGGGCAACCCUGAUCCAGCCAUUCCGCGUGAGUGAAGAAGGCCUUCGGGUUGUAAAGCUCUUUCAGCUGGAACGAAACGGUGCGCUCUAACAUAGCGUGCUAAUGACGGUACCAGCAGAAGAAGCACCGGCUAACUACGUGCCAGCAGCCGCGGUAAUACGUAGGGUGCGAGCGUUAAUCGGAAUUACUGGGCGUAAAGCGUGCGCAGGCGGAUUGUUAAGCAAGACGUGAAAUCCCCGGGCUUAACCUGGGAAUGGCGUUUUGAACUGGCAGUCUAGAGUGCGUCAGAGGGGGGUGGAAUUCCACGUGUAGCAGUGAAAUGCGUAGAGAUGUGGAGGAACACCGAUGGCGAAGGCAGCCCCCUGGGAUGACACUGACGCUCAUGUACGAAAGCGUGGGUAGCAAACAGG
rnacentral:rRNA from 1 species